GACGAACGCUGGCGGCGUGCUUAACACAUGCAAGUCGAGCGGAAAGGCCACUUCGGUGGUACUCGAGCGGCGAACGGGUGAGUAACACGUGAGUAAUCUGCCCUUGGCUUCGGGAUAGCCACCGGAAACGGUGAUUAAUACCGGAUACGACCACUCUAGGCAUCUAGUGGUGGUGGAAAGUUUUUCGGCCAGGGAUGUGCUCGCGGCCUAUCAGCUUGAUGGUGAGGUAAUGGCUCACCAUGGCUUCGACGGGUAGCCGGCCUGAGAGGGUGACCGGGCACACUGGGACUGAGAAACGGCCCAGACUCCUACGGGAGGCAGCAGUGGGGAAUAUUGGACAAUGGGCGGAAGCCUGAUCCAGCAACGCCGCGUGAGGGAUGACGGCCUUCGGGUUGUAAACCUCUUUCGGUAGGGACGAAGCGCAAGUGACGGUACCUACUAAAGAAGCACCGGCCAACUACGUGCCAGCCGCCGCGGUAACAC
rnacentral:rRNA from 1 species